rnacentral:ncRNA from 2 species
AAAUUUGCACCUGAUUUUGGUGAUUAUAGAAGUCCACUAAAACUUUUAUAAUAAAAGGGAAUUAAGUGAAAAUCUUAAACAGACCCGCUGCUGUAAUCUUCAACAGUCUUUAACCAAUCGAAUAUCCACUGUCUUUUAUAAAGAUGGGAAGGAUGCGUUAAAGAUGAAGUAAGUCAGAAAACCUGCCAAGUCAUUUUUUGUAUU